AAGCCCAAGAAGCCAGAAUUGGCUUCUGAUAUUAUAACUAAGACUUGCUGCCAAGACAUCAGAAUUACAUCAUAUUUCUGAUUUUGCAUCGUAUAAGUGCACCAUCAAACAGAUAUUUGUUUUUACUCCAGUGACUCAGUAAUUUCACUGUAAUAACGUCCUUAUACGUCUUUAUAGCUUUAUUUAUAAGCAAAGUUUUAUGUUAUUGGAGUUCUGCACUAGGAAAGUUUUGUUCUUUCUUGUUGGGUUUUGUGUGCCUUUUCUCCCAACUGGCGUACACAAAACACGCUUCUCUGGUCACUGCAAGUGUAGAAUUUCAUGAUUCAUUGUCAGUUCUGAAUUGGCAGUUAGCAAAAAUCAAAUGUAAGGAACUUCUGUAAACUUUCUAAUAGAAUGUGGAAAAAAUUGUAAGUGUAUAUUCUGACAUUAAUAUUAAUUAUAACAUAUAAUUGUAAUUUAUCUUUGGCUAGACCUCUUCGUGCUUGCUAUGGUGCUGUACAUACACUAUUUGUGUACUGUAUGUGGACAUACAUGCAUCUGUCAUGCAUGUGAACACUUACUACAUACUAAAUGCAAAAUGUACUACAACUGUGGUACAAAGCAUAAAGAUAGUCCGUAACGAAAUGUAAUUUGUGUUGUAUCACAUUAUGUUUCAAAUUUUGAUAGCAAUGACCUACCCAUCCAGUGCCUGCCGCAUGUUUCUGGAUAGUGUGUUGUAUUGUAUUUUUGAUUGUAGAAGGAAGGAUUAUCUACUGUCGUCGUAAAGGGGGAAGGGCAGACAGUAACAAAAGCAAUUACAUGUGCUGAAAUAGUCAAGAGAAAGAUGCCUACUUUGCACCAGAAUACAAAGAUAAAAUACUCCAAAUUAGAUGAAAUAUGGUCACCAAAGGACAAGACGCUUGGCCUAGAAACAGAGCAGCAAGUUACAACACAAGAUCAUCUACGCUACUCUUCAGUUCUUUAGAUGUCAGUACGAUGAGAAAUCUAUGGUUUUGCGACCUCAAGAAACUGCUGGCAGUGCCAGGCUUAUGUCUUUACUUGCAUAGCAUAGGCGUAAGAUGUCAAAAAUAAUUAUUAUAACAAACCACGCCCUCAGAAACUGAGAGCUAGGCUAGUGCCUAGCUUA